UGUGUUGUCAAAUGAGCAAUGUUUGAGUCCAGCCACAAGGGGGCAGCAUCGGCAAACAUAGACUGUCCUCUGAAGUGGGUGGGCAAAAUAGUCUGAUUGGUUUUCUUAACUUGCAGUCACCUCUCCUUUCUUUCCAAAAUGCACACAUCUGCUUUCCAAAAUAGACCACAACUAUUUCUAUUGAUCUGGAAGAAGCUUAUACCAGGCAACCCAUUUAGGAGCAGUUGGAUGAAGAGGAAGGAGAGGGAGAUGCUACUCAUCACAUCAGUGUUGGUCUUAUGGAUGCAAUUGUCACAGGUGAAUGGACAACAAAUAAUGCAAAUUCCUCAGUACCAGCAUGUACAAGAAGGAGAGGACUUCACCACGUACUGCAAUUCCUCAACUACUUUAAACAAUAUACAGUGGUAUAAGCAAAGGCCUGGGGGACAUCCUGUUUUUUUGAUAAUGUUAGUGAAGAGUGGAGAAGUGAAGAAGCAGAAAAGACUGACAUUUAAGUCUGGAGAAGCAAAAAAGAACAGCUCCCUGCACAUCACAGCCACCCAGACUACAGAUGAAGGAAGCUACUUCUGCGCAGGGCACAGUGCUCCCCAAGCACCUGCUGCCUGUCUCCAAAUCUUGCCCUGGGUCUUCAGGAGCAGAUCAUCCUACUCUCCCUAAAGAGCAGGAGCCAGAGAAAGCCAAAGUCACAAUGUCUGUGAGGAUAUCGAGCAACUCCUCCCCAUGAGAGUAGGAAUGCAUGCAGAAAAUCACUCUGUUAAGACCUGGCAGCGUUUAGCAGUUUUAUUUCCUAAAACUUGACUACAGGUUUUCUUCUACACAGGUGUCUCAAAGAAUUCGAAUUGUCUUAGGAAGAA